rnacentral:rRNA from 1 species
GACGAACGCUGGCGGCAUGCUUAACACAUGCAAGUCGAACGAAAAGGCCCUGCUUUUGUGGGGUGCUCGAGUGGCGACCGGGUGAGUAACCCGUGAGUAACCUGCCCUUGACUUUGGGUUAACUUCAGGCAACUUGGGCUCAUACCGGCUAGGAGCUACUGCUGCAUGGUGGGGGUUGGAAAGUUUCGGCGGUUGGGGAUGGACUGGCGGCUUAUCAGCUUGUUGGUGGGGUAGUGUCUUACCAUGGCUUUGACCGGUAGCCGGGCUGCGCGGGUGAGCGGACACAUCGCGCUGGAGAUGAGGCCCAGACUCGUAUGGGAGGCAGCAGUGGAGAAGAGUGUAUAAUGGGCGGAAGCCUAAUGUAGCAACGCCGCGUGGGGGAUGAGGGGAAGCGGGUUGUAUUCCACUUCUGCCUGUGACGAAGUGUGAGUGACGGUAACGGGUAAAGAAGCACCGGCUAACUACGUG